AGUGUCUACAGCUUGUGAUCAAUAUCGGAUGGAACAGUGAGUAAGGUGUAGCAACAAUUUUUGUAGCAGGAGAUCCAAUUCUGAGUCCUAGGCAUAAGACCUUGGCUCAACUUUCAUCAGUUUGUAGGUCUCUUCCUGGAAUGCAGACGCUGAUGGGAAGAAGCGCUGAGGGAGUUCUUUAAAGAUGAAUGUCCUCUAGUAUGAAUUGAUAAGAAUGGUUUAGCUAAUCUCAGCUGGGAAGGAACCAAUCCUGGCCUAUAAGCAAAAACAGUGACUAAGGAAGUACAAAUGUACAUCAUGGAUGAGGACCCUGGCAACUCUGCUGGGAAAUUUUAGUGACUCCACUCCCAGCCCCUCAGGAAAAGUGAGAAGAAAUCUUCUCUGGGAAAGCCAGCCACAGUACAGGCUCUCAUCUCCUCAGAAUUUCCUUGAUAUUUCUUCUGAAGUUUUAUGGAAGCUUUCGUGCUUUUACAUCAUAAUCUUUUUACUCACGAACCCUGUGUUGUAAUACAGGAAAAUUAUUCAGCAAAACCAGCCAAUAGAGCAACUCUAGUAUACGUGUAUGUUUACUCUAUUACCUCCUAUAUCUGUAUUUUUACUCUCCCCCUCCCCUAAGAAGAGAGAGUUGUGUUUUAUCAUCUGCCUUCUGGAACCAACAGACCAAACUGCUUGGGAUUUUUUUGGUCCAGACUUGUGAUUUCAUUAGUCUAGGGGGAACUCCUGGUGAGUAAGCUCCUCCUCCUAAUCCAGAUGGUCAAAUCCACUGAAACCUGUGGUCUAGUAAAGUUAACUGUGGAUACUGAUGGGUUAAGAGACACACAGCUAAUUCAUCCAGAGGUGGUACCUGAAGCAAGACCAUUCUAACUGGGAGCUAAUAUUUCUAGAAUAAUACUGAAUAUUGGAGGUGAUCAUUGGCAUCCUUGUUUCACCCCUGACUGUACUGAGAAAACUUCCAGCUUAUCUCCAUUACAGAUAAUGCUUGCUGAUGGUUUUAGGUCAAAUAUGCCCAGGUCUCUUAAUCAAUGUCAUGGACUCAAAGCUUUUGACCAUCUUAAAGAUCCUCCUCUGAACAUUCUCCAGCUUACCAAAGGCCCUCCUAAACUAUGGUGCCAGAACUGAACACAAUACUCCAGGGGAGGUACAGUGGAAUAUCACGUUCUUAUUCUUGGAAGCUAUUUUUUUCUUACAGUCCAAGAUUAAAUUAAGUUGUCUUUUUUUUUAGCUGGUAACUCAUAUUGGUCACUAAAAUCACCAGAUCUUUUUCAGAGCAACUGAUAUCUGUCUAUGCCUCCCCCAUCUUAUAUUAAGUUGAUCUCUUGUACCCAAGUGUAAGACUUUUCCUGGUAAAUUCCACCUUAUUAGAGGCUCUAGCCUGUAAAGAUCUUUUUGGAUCCUGACUACCAUUCAGUGCAUAUUAGCUAAUCCUUCUAGCACUGUCAUCUGCAAAUCUGAUGAACAUACAAUAUAUGCCUUUGUUCAUGUCCUGGAUACAACUGUUAAAUGACAGAGAGCCACCAAGCCCAGAUCCCUAGGGUACUUCACUGGAGACCUUCUAUGUUUACAUUAAUACAUUAGUCACUCUUUGAGUCUAGCCAUCCAACUAGUACUGAAUGUGCUAUCCAAGUAACAGAGUCUACAUUUUUUACUUAUCUGAAUUUCAGUCUUCCUCCUUCCUGGUAAGAAAAACUUGUCUCUGCCCAGUGCUUCAGGAGCAGUUUCAGGAGCCAGGAACCUGCCUUUUUAUCUUAUUUAUCUUCUAGAGUCCUUCCUUUGGCGUCCAAUGGAGCCGAUGUCACCUAUCAACAGUUUAUUAAGUGCCUACCGUAUGUAUCAGGCCCUUUGCUAAAGACUGGGAAUACAAAGAAAAGCAAAAAAUACUUACUCAGA